rnacentral:tRNA from 1 species
GCUUUUGGUUCAGUGGUAGAAUGCUCGCCUGCUACACGGGCGCCCCGGGUUCGAUUCCUGGCCGAUGCA